CGCACUUAUGACAAAUCAUGGCUUGAACUAUCUUGCUUUGCAUGUAAUGCGUCUAUCUCAUGUAUUAUUUCCCCCUUUUACGUUGCGCAACUGAAAUAAAUGAACUUUUGCACGAUAUUCUAAUUUUUCAAGUAUCACCUGUACUUUCCAAUGAGACCCAGGCUUUUCCUGCCCCCUUGCCUUGUUAGACCACACCUUUUCUUAUUGAUUCAUUUCUAU